rnacentral:rRNA from 1 species
GACGAACGCUGGCGGCGUGCUUAACACAUGCAAGUCGAACGGAAAGGCCCUGCUUUUGUGGGGUUCUCGAGUGGCGAACGGGUGAGUAACACGUGAGUAACCUGCCCUCGACUUUGGGAUAACUUCAGGAAACUGGGGCUAAUACCGGAUAGGAGCUCCUGCUGCAUGGUGGGGGUUGGAAAGUUUCGGCGGUUGGGGAUGGACUCGCGGCUUAUCAGCUUGUUGGUGUGGUAGUGGCUUACCAAGGCUUUGACGGGUAGCCGGCCUGAGAGGGUGGCCGGCCACAUUGGGACUGAGAUACGGCCCAGACUCAUACGGGAGGAAGCAGUGGGGAAUAUUGCACAAUGGGCGGAAGCCUGAUGCAGCACCGCCGCGUGCGGGAUGACGGCCUUCGGGUUGUAAACCGCUUUCGCCUGUGACGAAGCGUGAGUGACGGUAAUGGGUAAAGAAGAACCGGCUAACUACG